GUUUCCUCCAUUUGUCUCACCAUCUCUAUUUUAUACUCACUCUAGAGAGAGAGAGACGGACAGACAGACAUCAAGAGAGAGAAACCAAGCAUCACAAAAUUCAAAUCUUUUUUCCUUAAAGAUGGGUUCAUCUUCUCCAUCAGCAACACCAUAUAUCAACGGAGAAAUCAAAGGCGGUUGGAAAAGAUCACAGAUCAGUCCUAUCAGUUAUGAUUACUCUUUCAAGAUUCUCGUUAUUGGAGAUUCAGGUGUUGAAAGACAUUUUCUCCAAAUACUUGAAAUCAGUGAAUCAUCCGAAAUGUGGGCAAUUUGAAGGAAUAAUACCGGAUAGGUUGUUGUGAAAAAGCAUGUUGUGAUGAUUUUGUGCUCCCAUGCUAACACGCUCCGCGAUGAAAUAAUGGCUGAAUCGGUAGCAUACAACGUGGCGAGUAGGUUUAGUGUUUAAAACGUUUCAUGCAAACAAUAGUAGUAAAAGACUAUGUUUUGUUUUUUCGAUAUGUAGUUAUUUGUUUGUUUGGUUGGGUUAUUUUUUUAUGUAAACUGGAUGUUUAGUUGGUUUGUAUACCUUAUAAUAUGUUUUUUGGAUUUGUUUUUA